UUGACGUCAAAGCUUAUCCACCUUACCGUAGAACGCAUAUAAAUUGAAAAACUACCUCACAUUGUCGUCCCUGAUGAGUUCCCCAAUGUGUUUGUCUUCACUUUACAUUUCGCGGGAAUUGUAAAGAUGAACUCCGAAGUUUUUGAAUUUAGCGGAACGAAACGGUGUCUCUAGGUACU